rnacentral:rRNA from 1 species
AACGAACGCUGGCGGCAGGCUUAACACAUGCAAGUCGAGCGCCCCGCAAGGGGAGCGGCAGACGGGUGAGUAACGCGUGGGAACGUACCCUUUACUACGGAAUAGCUCCGGGAAACUGGAAUUAAUACCGUAUGUGCCCUUCGGGGGAAAGAUUUAUCGGUAAAGGAUCAGCCCGCGUUGGAUUAGCUAGUUGGUGGGGUAAAGGCCUACCAAGGCGACGAUCCAUAGCUGGUCUGAGAGGAUGAUCAGCCACAUUGGGACUGAGACACGGCCCAAACUCCUACGGGAGGCAGCAGUGGGGAAUAUUGGACAAUGGGCGCAAGCCUGAUCCAGCCAUGCCGCGUGAGUGAUGAAGGCCUUAGGGUUGUAAAGCUCUUUCACCGAUGAAGAUAAUGACGGUAGUCGGAGAAGAAGCCCCGGCUAACUUCGUGCCAGCCGCCGCCGUAACAC